GGGAGAGUGGUCAAAAGCGGCAGACUGUAAAUCUGUUGAAGUUUUUCUACGUAGGUUCGAAUCCUGCCUCUCCCA
rfam:Arabidopsis thaliana chromosome 2, complete sequence.